GGAAUAUCUCUUAACUUUUAACUAAAAAAACUAAGAACCGGUUCUUAAAUAAGAGUUUUAAGAGCCGGUUCUUAACUUUUUUAGUUAAAAAUUAAGAGACGGGUUCUUAUAUUCC
rnacentral:pre_miRNA from 1 species